CCAUUUUUCUGGCCCGGAUAGAUGGGGUUCGCCUUCUAACCUAAAUCUGCUCGAUCGAAGAAACAUAGUUCGUCUCUGCUCUACGUGUGGCAGCGAGUCCGUGAUGUUUGCGGUUCUUCUCCCGACUGAAACAGUCUGAUUAAUUGCUUCGUGAUUAAUCUCAUUGAUUAAUGCCUCCACGAUGUGUCUUCAAAGCGUUGUUUGGAUCUGAGAGCCGGUGUGGUUUCAGUAUAAAUAUGUGCAACACUGUUUACCGUUUUAACUCCUUCCGACAUAUCUUGCAAGAAGGCUCGAUUUAUGAGUUAAAUGGUUUUGAUGUUCCGAGAAAGCAAUCCAACCUUCAAGUUUGUCGUUUCUGAGAGAUACUACCAAGAGGAGAGUGAAAGAAAGGCACAGAUUGAACAGAUGGGUGGUCAGAUAGAGAAUUAUCAAAAGAAACUUGAGGAGUUGCAUGACAAAUACACUGGUCAAGUGCGGGAGUGCUCUGAUCUGACCUGCAGGCUUGAUAGCACCGAGGCAUUGGUUCAUACCUUUUGUUGGACUUUAAUGCUAGAUCAAUACUGCUCUGAAACUUUUAAUGUGCUAUCUAGAAAAACCUGAACCAAACCAGCAAAAUGCUUGCUUCCACAAAUGAGGAAUUGAAGAAAUCUCAAUAUGCCAUGAAGGAGAAAUAUUUCAUCAUUUCAGAGCAGAAAAAAUCUGGUACUUUCUAAAUCAUUACUCUAACCAAAUGCUUGAAACGUUGUCUCUAACAUGCUUAUGCAUUUUGCCAAAAAAUGUGCUGGUUCAACAAGCUUUUGUUUUACAAUCUAACUUGGAGAAAGCUACUAAAGAAAAUGCUUCGUUACACCAAAAAAUUGGAAGAGAGAAUAAGCUCAGUGCGGAUAACAGAAAAGUUGUAGACAAUUAUCAAGCAGAACUUUCUGAACAAAUCUCCAACAUGUUCAGUAUGGUUGCUUCGUGUCUGUCCCAGCAAAAUGCACAGAUUUAUGGUGUUAACAAACUGUCCCAAUCUCGGUUAGAGGCGCAUAACAAGGCUAUUCUUGAAAUGAAAAAGAAGGUUCGAGCACAAGGGAUUUAUACAGUUCUCACUUGGAGGCAGUGCAGAAUGUAUUAAGCUUGCACAAGGCAAACUCAAAUGCUUUUCUUGAAGAAGUUUCAGCGUUAACAACUGCAAGUGCAUCUUCCAUUGAUUUUCUUGCAUCAGGAGAUGAGACAACAUCAUCGUUAUUUGAUGAACUUCACAAUGCUCUUACGUCCCACCAGGGAGAAAUGGUUCUCUUUGCAAGGGAACUGAGACAGAAGUUCCACACAACGAUGGAGCAAACCCAUGAGAUGUCUGAAUACAUAAGUUCAUUCUUUCAAAAGCUUAUGGAAGAGUCUAAGAAUGCUGAGAACCGUGUAGCAGAGGCUAAUGAUAAUCAAUUAAACAGCAUUAUCGAUUUCCAGAAGACUCACGGACCAGACAGCUUUCGUGGAGGUCACAGACACGACUAAGCUGAUCCUGAGGGAGAGCUCCAGUAUGUUGGUGCCAAGUUUAUUGUACGAUGAGAUACCUCUUUCCAACCAUUUCAGGGACAAGCCUGUCUGCCUCAGUGUUUUGAUGGCCUUGCUCUGGCUGAAUCCCUGAAGUUACAGCUGUAGAAUAUUUGUUUAACGACUCUGCUUCACUUUCUUUUUAUCAGGUGCGUUUCUAGGCACAGUAUUUUUCUGUAUUUGGGAAUCACCUUGGGCAGCAAAGUCAUGGCUUCUGCGCCAUGUCAGUGCUCUGUUGUAAUACAUUCAACAAUUGUUUCAACCAGUUAGAUGUUUAAAUAUCCA